rnacentral:tRNA from 1 species
AGGUAGGGUGGCCGAGUAGGUGGCAGGUUGUAGCCCUGUGUUAUCGUGGGCAUUCGCCCCCCCAACCAG